rnacentral:rRNA from 1 species
UACGUAGGGGGCAAGCGUUGUCCGGAUUUAUUGGGCGUAAAGAGCGUGUAGGCGGCCAAGCAGGUCCGCUGUGAAAACUCGAGGCUCAACCUCGAGACGUCGGUGGAAACCGUUUGGCUAGAGUACGGAAGAGGCGAGUGGAAUUCCUGGUGUAGCGGUGGAAUGCGCAGAUAUCAGGAGGAACACCAAUAGCGAAGGCAGCUCGCUGGGACGUUACUGACACUAAGGCGCGAAAGCGUGGGGAGCGAACAGG